ACACAUGCAAGUCGAACGAGAAUCUGUGGAUCGAGGAUUCGUCCAAGUGAAGCAGAGGACAGUGGCGGACGGGUGAGUAACGCGUGAGGAACCUGCCUUUCAGAGGGGGACAACAGUUGGAAACGACUGCUAAUACCGCAUGAUACAUUUGGGUGGCAUCAUCUGAAUGUCAAAGAUUUAUCGCUGAAAGAUGGCCUCGCGUCUGAUUAGCUGGUUGGUGAGGUAACGGCCCACCAAGGCGACGAUCAGUAGCCGGACUGAGAGGUUGACCGGCCACAUUGGGACUGAGAUACGGCCCAGACUCCUACGGGAGGCAGCAGUGGGGAAUAUUGGGCAAUGGGCGCAAGCCUGACCCAGCAACGCCGCGUGAAGGAAGAAGGCUUUCGGGUUGUAAACUUCUUUUAAGAGGGAAGAGCAGAAGACUGUACCUCUAGAAUAAGCCACGGCUAACUACGUGCCAGCAGCCGCGGUAAUACGUAGGUGGCAAGCGUUGUCCGGAUUUACUGGGUGUAAAGGGCGUGCAGCCGGGAAUGCAAGUCAGAUGUGAAAUCCAUGGGCUUAACCCAUGAACUGCAUUUGAAACUGUAUUUCUUGAGUACUGGAGAGGCAAUCGGAAUUCCUAGUGUAGCGGUGAAAUGCGUAGAUAUUAGGAGGAACACCAGUGGCGAAGGCGGAUUGCUGGACAGCAACUGACGGUGAGGCGCGAAAGUGUGGGGAGCAAACAGGAUUAGAUACCCUGGUAGUCCACACUGUAAACGAUGAAUACUAGGUGUGCGGGGACUGACCCCCUGCGUGCCGCAGUUAACACAAUAAGUAUUCCACCUGGGGAGUACGAUCGCAAGGUUGAAACUCAAAGGA
rnacentral:rRNA from 1 species